ACUCAAAUGAAUAGACGGGGACCCGCACAAGCGGUGGAACAUGUGGUUUAAUUCGAGGCAACGCGAAGAACCUUACCAGGAUUUGACAUGCCCUCUAUGGACUCUUGAAAGAGAGUCCUUCACUUCGGGUGGGAGGUGCACAGGUGCUGCAUGGCUGUCGUCAGCUCGUGUCGUGAGAUGUUGGGUUAAGUCCCGCAACGAGCGCAACCCUCAUCCUCUGUUGCUAACAGGUAAUGCUGAGAACUCUGAGGAAACUGCCGGUGAUAAGCCGGAGGAAGGUGGGGAUGACGUCAAGUCCUCAUGGCCCUUACAUCCUGGGCUACACACGUGUUACAAUGGCAGUGACAGUCGGUUGCUACCUCGCGAGAGGAUGCCAAUCUGCAAAAGCUGCCUCAGUUCGGAUUGUACUCUGCAACUCGAGUGCAUGAAGUUGGAAUCGCUAGUAAUCGCUGAUCAGCACGCAGCGGUGAAUACGUUCCCGGGUCUUGCACACACCGCCCGU
rnacentral:rRNA from 1 species